rnacentral:rRNA from 1 species
UACGGAGGGUGCAAGCGUUAAUCGGAAUUACUGGGCGUAAAGCGUGCGCAGGCGGUUUGUUAAGUCUGCUGUGAAAUCCCCGAGCUCAACUUGGGAAUUGCAGUGGAUACUGGCAGGCUGGAGUAUGGUAGAGGAAGGUGGAAUUCCCGGUGUAGCAGUGAAAUGCGUAGAGAUCGGGAGGAACACCAGUGGCGAAGGCGGGUCUCUGGACAGUUCCUGACGCUGAGGCACGAAGGCCAGGGGAGCAAACGGG